UGUGAGCUCGAUGAGUAGGGCGGGACACGUGGUAUCCUGUCUGAAUAUGGGGGGACCAUCCUCCAAGGCUAAAUACUCCUGACUGACCGAUAGUGAACCAGUACCGUGAGGGAAAGGCGAAAAGAACCCCGGCGAGGGGAGUGAAAAAGAACCUGAAACCGUGUACGUACAAGCAGUGGGAGCACGCUUAGGCGUGUGACUGCGUACCUUUUGUAUAAUGGGUCAGCGACUUAUAUUCUGUAGCAAGGUUAACCGAAUAGGGGAGCCGAAGGGAAACCGAGUCUUAACUGGGCGUUAAGUUGCAGGGUAUAGACCCGAAACCCGGUGAUCUAGCCAUGGGCAGGUUGAAGGUUGGGUAACACUAACUGGAGGACCGAACCGACUAAUGUUGAAAAAUUAGCGGAUGACUUGUGGCUGGGGGUGAAAGGCCAAUCAAACCGGGAGAUAGCUGGUUCUCCCCGAAAGCUAUUUAGGUAGCGCCUCGUGAAUUCAUCUCCGGGGGUAGAGCACUGUUUCGGCAAGGGGGUCAUCCCGACUUACCAACCCGAUGCAAACUGCGAAUACCGGAGAAUGUUAUCACGGGAGACACACGGCGGGUGCUAACGUCCGUCGUGAAGAGGGAAACAACCCAGACCGCCAGCUAAGGUCCCAAAGUCAUGGUUAAGUGGGAAACGAUGUGGGAAGGCCCAGACAGCCAGGAUGUUGGCUUAGAAGCAGCCAUCAUUUAAAGAAAGCGUAAUAGCUCACUGGUCGAGUCGGCCUGCGCGGAAGAUGUAACGGGGCUAAACCAUGCACCGAAGCUGCGGCAGCGACGCUUAUGCGUUGUUGGGUAGGGGAGCGUUCUGUAAGCCUGUGAAGGUGUGCUGUGAGGCAUGCUGGAGGUAUCAGAAGUGCGAAUGCUGACAUAAGUAACGAUAAAGCGGGUGAAAAGCCCGCUCGCCGGAAGACCAAGGGUUCCUGUCCAACGUUAAUCGGGGCAGGGUGAGUCGACCCCUAAGGCGAGGCCGAAAGGCGUAGUCGAUGGGAAACAGGUUAAUAUUCCUGUACUUGGUGUUACUGCGAAGGGGGGACGGAGAAGGCUAUGUUGGCCGGGCGACGGUUGUCCCGGUUUAAGCGUGUAGGCUGGUUUUCCAGGCAAAUCCGGAAAAUCAAGGCUGAGGCGUGAUGACGAGGCACUACGGUGCUGAAGCAACAAAUGCCCUGCUUCCAGGAAAAGCCUCUAAGCAUCAGGUAACAUCAAAUCGUACCCCAAACCGACACAGGUGGUCAGGUAGAGAAUACCAAGGCGCUUGAGAGAACUCGGGUGAAGGAACUAGGCAAAAUGGUGCCGUAACUUCGGGAGAAGGCACGCUGAUAUGUAGGUGAAGCGACUUGCUCGUGGAGCUGAAAUCAGUCGAAGAUACCAGCUGGCUGCAACUGUUUAUUAAAAACACAGCACUGUGCAAACACGAAAGUGGACGUAUACGGUGUGACGCCUGCCCGGUGCCGGAAGGUUAAUUGAUGGGGUCAGCGCAAGCGAAGCUCUUGAUCGAAGCCCCGGUAAACGGCGGCCGUAACUAUAACGGUCCUAAGGUAGCGAAAUUCCUUGUCGGGUAAGUUCCGACCUGCACGAAUGGCGUAAUGAUGGCCAGGCUGUCUCCACCCGAGACUCAGUGAAAUUGAACUCGCUGUGAAGAUGCAGUGUACCCGCGGCAAGACGGAAAGACCCCGUGAACCUUUACUAUAGCUUGACACUGAACAUUGAGCCUUGAUGUGUAGGAUAGGUGGGAGGCUUUGAAGUGUGGACGCCAGUCUGCAUGGAGCCGACCUUGAAAUACCACCCUUUAAUGUUUGAUGUUCUAACGUUGACCCGUAAUCCGGGUUGCGGACAGUGUCUGGUGGGUAGUUUGACUGGGGCGGUCUCCUCCUAAAGAGUAACGGAGGAGCACGAAGGUUGGCUAAUCCUGGUCGGACAUCAGGAGGUUAGUGCAAUGGCAUAAGCCAGCUUGACUGCGAGCGUGACGGCGCGAGCAGGUGCGAAAGCAGGUCAUAGUGAUCCGGUGGUUCUGAAUGGAAGGGCCAUCGCUCAACGGAUAAAAGGUACUCCGGGGAUAACAGGCUGAUACCGCCCAAGAGUUCAUAUCGACGGCGGUGUUUGGCACCUCGAUGUCGGCUCAUCACAUCCUGGGGCUGAAGUAGGUCCCAAGGGUAUGGCUGUUCGCCAUUUAAAGUGGUACGCGAGCUGGGUUUAGAACGUCGUGAGACAGUUCGGUCCCUAUCUGCCGUGGGCGCUGGAGAACUGAGGGGGGCUGCUCCUAGUACGAGAGGACCGGAGUGGACGCAUCACUGGUGUUCGGGUUGUCAUGCCAAUGGCACUGCCCGGUAGCUAAAUGCGGAAGAGAUAAGUGCUGAAAGCAUCUAAGCACGAAACUUGCCCCGAGAUGAGUUCUCCCUGACCCUUUAAGGGUCCUGAAGGAACGUUGAAGACGACGACGUUGAUAGGCCGGGUGUGUAAGCGCAGCGAUGCGUUGAGCUAACCGGUACUAAUGAACCGUGAGGCUUAACCUU
rnacentral:rRNA from 1 species